rnacentral:lncRNA from 1 species
AUGUAUUCAAACUCUCCUGUACGGGGAUGCCCCUCUCAGAGUCCCCUGAACGAGUGCCCCCAGCUUUCCGGCUCGCAGAAGCUGUGUGCUUGGACGGAACCCCGCGCGCAGCCUUGUCUGGCCUUGUCUUUCAGGAGCUGGCUGGCCCUCGCAGUCGCUGCGCUUCUGGGUCCGAAACCCUCGGCCUGCGGCCCUCCACCUGGUCCCCGGCCAAACAUCCUCCUUCUGAUGGCGGACGAUCUCGGCAUUGGAGACGUCGGUUGCUACGGCAACAGCACCCUCAGGACUCCAAACAUCGACCGCCUUGCGGCGGAUGGCGUGAGGCUCACCCAGCAUCUGGCCGCUGCCCCUGUGUGCACGCCAAGUAGAGCGGCGUUUUUAACGGGCAGAUACCCCCUCCGAUCAGGUAUGGUUUCCAGUCAAGGCCUCCGUGUUCUUCAGUGGACAGCGGUGUCUGGAGGACUUCCGCCCAGUGAAAUAACUUUUGCAAAAAUACUGAAAGCUAAAGGCUAUACCACCGGACUCGUAGGAAAAUGGCAUUUGGGUCUCAGCUGUGCGUCUCCCGACGAUCACUGCCACCAUCCGCUCAAUCACGGCUUCGACCAUUUCUACGGAAUGCCAUUCAGCAUGAUGGCGGACUGCGAGCGCUGGGGACUAUCCGAGAAGCGUGCGGUCCUGGAGCGUCGCCUCGACGUCUGCUCCCAGCUCGUGGCCCUGGCCACCCUCACACUCACAAUCGGGAAACUCACCCGCCUGAUACUGGCCGCCUCCUGGACGCUGGUCAUCUGGUCGACUGUCGUGUGCCUCCUGCUCUUCGCCACUUCCUGUUUGGUGGGCGCCCUGAUCGAGCACGCGGACUGCUUUCUGAUGCGGAAUCAUUCCAUCGCACAGCAGCCCAUGCGCUCUCAGAAGACGAUGCCGCUCAUACUCCGGGAGGUCUCAUCCUUCAUCAAAAGAAACAAGCAAGGGCCUUUCCUCCUCUUUGUGUCCUUCCUGCACGUCCACACCCCUCUUGUCACGACUGAGAACUUCCGUGGGAGGAGUGCCCACGGGCUUUACGGGGACAACACCGAAGAGAUGGACUGGAUGGUGGGCCAGAUCCUUGAGACUUUGGACACAGAAGGGUUGACCAACAGCACCCUGGUUUAUUUUACAUCGGAUCACGGCGGAUCCUUAGAGGCUCAGUUUGGAAACAACCAAUACGGUGGCUGGAAUGGGGUAUAUAAAGGCGGCAAAGGCAUGGGCGGCUGGGAAGGCGGGAUCCGGGUCCCGGGGAUAUUCCGAUGGCCCGGGGUCCUGCCGGCCGGCCGCGUGAUCCACGAGCCCACCAGCCUGAUGGACGUCUUCCCCACCCUGGUCCACCUUGCGGGCGGCCAGGUGCCCCAGGACAGGGUGGUGGACGGCCGGGACCUGCUGGCCCUGCUCCAGGGGACCGCGCGGCACUCAGACCACGAGUUCCUCAUGCACUACUGUGAGAGCUUUCUGCACGCCGCCCGGUGGCACCAACGCGACCGAGGCGCAGUGUGGAAAGUCCACUUUGCCACCCCCGUCUUCCAGCCGGACGGUGCGGGCGCCUGCUAUGGGCAGGCAGUGUGCCCCUGCUCAGGAGACAAGGUGACCCACCACAUCCCACCGCUGCUGUUCGACCUGUCCCGAGACCCUUCCGAGGCCCACGCCCUCACGCCGGACACGGAGCCGUCGUUCCACGUGGUGGUGGAGACCGUGGCCCGGGCCGUGGAGGCCCAUCGACGGACGCUGAGCCCCGUUCCGCUGCAGCUGGACGCGGCGGACAACACGUGGAAGCCGUGGCUGCAGCCGUGCUGUGGGCGGUUUCCCUUCUGCUGGUGCGAUCGGGAUGCGGACUCACGAUAGGAGCCCAGCUGGGAAUACCCGCUCACUGGGGUCAAACAAAUAUAAAACAUCGGUGUGGAGUCAAGUCGCCUGCCUGUGUGGGCUUGAAUGCUUUCACCUAGAAUGCAGGCUUGGGGUUGGUGCGGGGUGGUGGGGGUGGUGGGAAGGAAAGCCUGAGAUGUAUGAAGAGUAACAUGGAAACUCACAUUGCAGCUGUGUUGUGCCAGACUCUUUGCGACCCCAUGGACUGUAGCCCCACCAGGCUCCUCUGUCCAUGGGAUUCUCCAGGCAAGAAUACAGGAGCGGCUUGCCAAGCCCUCCUCUAGGGGAUCUUCCCGACCCAGAGAUCCAACCGCAUUGCAGGCGGAUUCUUUACCAGCUGAGCCACCAGGGAAGCCCGGAGGAAACUUCCAUGACCACAUGUAAAUUACAUAAGCGAUGGGGAUUUGCUGUAUGACUCAGGGAACUCAAGCAGGGGUUCGGUGACAACCUCGACGGGUGGGACGGGUGCAGAUGGGAGCAAUGGUCAAGAGGGAGGGGACGUAUGUAUACCUACGGCUGAUUCAUGUUGAGGUUUAGCAGAAGCCAACCACAUUCUGUAAAGCAAUGAUCCUUCAAUUAAAAAGAUAAAUCAAUUAAAAAAAAGAAUCCAGUACUUGUCUGUUUUGACUUUGAGAAAGACAAAUAUCAUAUAUUAAUGUACAUAGGAGAAGGGGAUGACAGAGGAUGAGAUGGCUGGAUGGCAUCACCGACUCAAUGGACAUAAGUCUGAGCAAACUCCGGGAGUUGGUGAUGGACAGGGAGGCCUGGUGUGCUGCGGUCCACGGGGCCACAGAGAGCCGAACGCGACUGAGCGACUGAAUGGAACUGAACUGAAUGCACAUACAUGGAAUCUAGAAAGAGGGUCCUGACAAUCCUAACUGCAGAGCCGCAAAGGAGACGAAGACAUAAAGGACAGACUUGCGGACACAGCGGGGGAAGGACAGACGGAUAGGAUAGCCUUGAAACCUAUGUCCGAUCAUUCGUAAGGUAGAGAGCCAGUUGGAAUUUGCCGUACGAUGCUAGGAAGCCAAAGCUGGCGCUCUGUGACAACCUAUAGGGGUAGGAGAGGGAGGGAAGUUCAAGAGGAAGGGGAUAUAUGUAUACCUACGGCUGAUUCAUGUUGAUGGAUGUCAAAAACCACCACAAUAUUGGGAAGUAAUGACUCUCCAAUAAAAAAGCCUCCAAAGCUAAAAUAUACA